UCAUAGCUCAGUCGGUAGAGCAAAGGACUGAAAAUCCUUGUGUCGGUGGUUCGAUUCCACCUGGA
rnacentral:tRNA from 2 species